UGAACUCAUGAUGCGACGCGUUCGGUUUCUGGGGAAAACCGGAGAUCCUUGAGCGCAAAUUGCACACUUAUCACAUGUGCAAAUACGAAUAGAUGCCGGGGAUAAACAGAGGUAACUACAAACGGGUCAAACAUCAUCUUGAAAAACGACAAUUAUAAAAAUUGCGAAGAUUGUGGUCAUCGCACAACAGCUGCUGACGUGAGCUCAACCGAUAAACAACAAACGAUAAAAUUAACGUUACACUGUGAACCGUGUGCAGUGUACUGGACAUAUUAUCCAUUUAUUGGAGGGUGUUUAGCAAUAUGGCGUCGUCAAAAGUGAUCAGCUGAUCAUCGAUCCAGCUUAUUACACCAAUAUAGAGGCACUGAAGGAUUCUUACUGGCUUUCGGACUGCCGUUUUGAUACAUUGAGUCAAUUGUAAGUGAAAUAUUGGAUCCACAAUUCGGUUUAUCUGCAUGUGACGUUUUUCUUUGUUCACGGUUUAGUUAUUUAGUUCGUAUAUAACUUAUCCAACUAUGAGUAAGCGGAGGAUAGAUUAAUCACGAACAUAAUAAUACGUUGACGAAGAACAGAAAAGGCUAUAAAGUGGGAAGUUUCGAAAAUUUUGGAACAAAAUUGGUAUCUGGUAUAGGAAUUUGUUCAGAUGUCUUAAUUUUUUGCGACAAAACUGAAGAAAUAAACUGGUGAAAUCUGCACUAAGGUACAACGCAGUCGAGUACCCGGAAACAUGCCCUCAUGGUUGAAAAGGUGCGCAUGCUGACUUCAGCAUUGAAAAUGCUUGUACAAUGGAAAAACGGGUUCGGCUGGAAUCCCUAGUGGGAGGUUCAGGAAGAGAU